rnacentral:lncRNA from 1 species
CAAGGGUUUUCAGAUAGAACGUCAGUUUCCUCCGGAAUUCAUUCCAGUCACCGUCCUUGAUAUGGAUUGGAUGUCGCUAUAAAGAAACCAAGAAGGUGGCAUUAGUCUCCUAGAAAUCAAGAAGAAAAUCACAGAGACCCCAGCAUGGAAAUGGGUGCAGCAUGUGAGCUGUGAGUGCCCCAAACACAGAUGGCCCAGGAACUCAGCAAAGGCUUCCACUUCUUGUUUGACCCAAGAAAUGUCAUGCAAAGGGUCAUGGCUUCCUUGGGGCCCAGUCGGUGCAGAGCAGACCCUCCAUCCCAGGCCCAGUCUAAUAGAGAAGACAGUUGGAGAAUCCCCAUUUAGAAUGAUAUGCCUGUGGGAGACAGAAGCCCAGAAAUGAGGCAGCCUCAUCCAGCCUGCACCAUCAGAGAAGACAGGAGGAAAGGACAGCUAUGACCUAAAGGAUGAUCUGGAGCCAGGCAAGCCACAGAAGAAGUGUUCCCUAGGGAGUGCUGGGUUUGGGGCUGCAGGUGCUCCAUCUGUUGGCCUCAAUCCAGGGCUCCAAUAUCUGGAUACCUGGGGUGGCCAUAUGGUUCCUAUUGUUAUUAAUAAGUUAUGGGCUUUCAGUGUCUGUCACUCUCUUGUUACCCACCUGAAAUACAAAGCUUUGGAAGAUGCA